CACAACCAACAACAGUAAACAGAGCAACAAUAACAAUAACAACAACAAUAACAAUAAUAGCAAUAACAACAAUAAUAACAAUAGCAACAAGAAUAAAAACAACAAAAAUAGCAACAACAACAAUAACAAUGCCAACAACAACAAAAACAACAGCAGCAGCAACAGUAACAACAACAACAACAAUAAUUACAGCAGCAACAAUAACACCAACAACACCAAGUACAACA
rnacentral:lncRNA from 1 species